UAGCUCAGAUGGUAAAGCAUCUGCCUGCAAUGCGGGAGACCCGGGUUCGAUUCCUGG
rnacentral:tRNA from 1 species